UCUUUCGAAUAAAGAGGAAAAAGGAGUCACUAACUCUACUAAUUUAUGGAGACGGCUACGACAGAUUUGUUUGUACCUUAGCAUCAUCUGAAUGGUGGUUAUCAGACAACAAUGGCAGAGAAGAGAGAGAGAGAGAGAAGAGGAGGAAGAGACCAAGUGAUGAAGAAGAUCUUGCUCUUUUGGCAAUUGUCGACGGUGACGAAGUCGAAAUCGAAGACGGCGUAGCGGCAGUCGUCGAGGGGGAGGGAGGCGGCGAGGCCUUCGUAGCCGUCGCCCGGCCUGCCCACCUUGUCCACCAUCACCUCCCUCGACUUCUCGUCGAUCUUGUACACCACGUACCUGCUCGCUUUCUUCCACUUCAUCUCCAUGAACGAGCUCAGGCACUCCUGCUUCACCCGCAUCCCCUCCGUCGCCUGUCACAACCGCCCAAAUCAAUCAUUGUAGCUUCACAUCCGUCAACAAACACCAUCGUCGUCAGGGAAAAGAAAGAACAAAAGAAGAACAGCCUGGCCGUCGAUGAUGUGGGUAUGAUUACCAUCUUGAAAGCCAUAGCCAUGGGUUGCAGUAGCGGCGUGAAGAGGUGUCGAUGCCUGCCUUGAGAGCCGUCCUUUGGCUUGCUGCCCUUUGGGGUCAUCCACUGACUUCUCUGGUUGUCAUUUAUAGACGCCCAGUUAGAAAUGUAACGUGGCUACCAAAACCAAAAUAGAGUGGAGUUACAUAUCUAUCCCUUCCAAUUUGUGUGUGUGUAUAUAUAUAUAUAUAUAUAUUAGAUUUUACAUAUUCAAACUUAGAUUUGGUGGUGCAA